UAGCAUAAUCAUUAGUUUUUUAAUUGAGAACUGGAAUGAAAGGUUAAAUAAAAAAUAAUCUUUAUUAAUUUUAAAAUUUUUAAAUUUGUUUUUUUAGUAAAAAAACUAAAAUAUUAUAAAAAGGCGAUAAGGCCCUAUAAAGCUUUAUAAUAAAAAAUUUAGUUAUUUAUUAGAAUAUUAAAAUUAUUUUUUUUUUGUUAUUUAAUUGGGGUGAUUUAAAGAUUUAUUAAACUCUUUAAUAAAAAAAAAUCAUAUUUUUAUGUUUUACGAUCCUUAUUAAAUUUAAAGAUUAUAAAAAUAAGUUACUUUAGGGAUAACAGCGUAAUUUUUUUGAAGAGUUCUAAUCGAUAAAAAAGAUUGCGACCUCGAUGUUGAAUUAAGAUAAAAAUUAGGUGUAGAAG
rnacentral:rRNA from 1 species